UCUUAUCUAGAGAGGUGGAGGGACUGGCCCGAUGAAACCCAGCAACAAUUUUAAGCUAUAUAGUUUAAAAAAUGUGCUAAUUCCUGCGGUGAAAACUGAGAGAUAAGA
rnacentral:ncRNA from 1 species